AUGGAAACACAUCGUGCGUACUGCCUACCUUGUUUUCUCUUCACAAAAAGGCCAAGUGGAAGGUUUGGCUCUGAUGCAUUCACACUCAAGGGAUUUAAUAAUUGGAAGAAGGUGAAUGAUGGAAACGAAUGUGCUUUCUUAACUCACAUGGGCAAAGAUUCCAACUCCGCUCAUAACUUUUCUCAGCGGUGUCAUGAUAAUCUGAAAAAUAGUUUGACUCACAUCAAUAAGUCAAUGGUGAAAGUGUGUGCAAAAAAGGUUGCAGAUGCAAGGCUAAGGCUUAAAUUUACAAUUGAUUGCAUCAAAUAA
rnacentral:rRNA from 1 species